CAAUGCUCAGCAAUACAACCGUGUAGAACAGCCCUUCCUCUCUCCCCCUUCACUGUCAGCCAUCUCCAUUUGUAAGCCCAGCCCGAAUGCUCCUUAGAGUCCUAAAAGUGAUCUCUCAAAGAUCACUCAUGAUAUUCUUCCUACCAAACUUAAAUCUACUGCUCCCAGCAAAGCCCACUGGGGUCCCCAGAAAAAAAUAGGAUGGACUCCAGGUUAUAAGAUCUAACUUCUUCUUUAGUAUUUAGUCUCGUUUCACUUGCCUAUAGUGGGUCAUGUGCAGAGGCCUUGCACCUAACACAUAAGAUUAGAGUUCCCAGUGCAAAACCACUGGGCCAACACCCCAACUUGGCAGGCCACGUGGAAACUCUCAACGCCUCAACUGAAGAUGGUGGCAGCGGCCAGCCAUGGCCAGAGAUGUGUACCCUAAACAGCAACACUCACUUCACAGGAACUCAGCCCCCUCUGAUGAGAGCCCUAUAAAGCAGCCCCGCCCACAGUGUGUCACGGGAGAGAGUGUGCUGGAGAACACUACCUCCCACUUCACUAGCUUAUGAUCCAAGAAGAAAGCUUCCCUUGCUUCUGAACUGAACUCAGCCUCAUUCUAUCAGCCUGGGAGACAUCUGGCUAGAGAACACAUGCCCGGGCCCAGCUGGACAAGCCAGGAGUUUGGAAGAAGCCAGCAGGCAACGUAGUGAUUUGGUAAUGUCCUUCCCACUGCCAAGAUGGAUUAAUGCUGGGAGACCUUACAACUGCAGUACCUCAGCUCUUCAACUUGUCUUAAGCUCCUGUGUAGGAUUAAAGAGGCCUCUGAAAUGGGAAAUCUGACAUCAAAAGAGCUCAUACGUAGGAAUCCAAGAGGCUUAAGUUCAAGUUCAGUCUCUGCCACCGACUAGCUGGGAAUCAUUAAAUGAUUCAUCUAAAUUCUCUGAGCUUUGGUUUCCUCAUCUGUAGUUUACUUCAGAAGAUUGUCGUGAGGGAUUAAAUUGGCUAAUACUUGUAAAGGGUUUCACAUGAUGCUCAAUAAAUGCUAACCACAAUCGCA